GUUUAAAUAGUUUAAUAAAAAUGUUGGUUUGUGGAGCCAAGGAUAUACAGUAGUAUUUUGGGCA
rnacentral:tRNA from 1 species